rnacentral:rRNA from 1 species
AUUGAACGCUGGCGGCAUGCCUUACACAUGCCAGUCGAACGGCAGCACGGGUGCUUGCACCUGGUGGCGAGUGGCGAACGGGUGAGUAAUACAUCGGAACAUGUCCUGUAGUGGGGGAUAGCCCGGCGAAAGCCGGAUUAAUACCGCAUACGAUCUACGGAUGAAAGCGGGGGACCUUCGGGCCUCGCGCUAUAGGGUUGGCCGAUGGCUGAUCAGCUAGUUGGUGGGGUAAAGGCCUACCAAGGCGACGAUCAGUAGCUGGUCUGAGAGGACGACCAGCCACACUGGGACUGAGACACGGCCCAGACUCCUACGGGAGGCAGCAGUGGGGAAUUUUGGACAAUGGGCGAAAGCCUGAUCCAGCAAUGCCGCGUGUGUGAAGAAGGCCUUCGGGUUGUAAAGCACUUUUGUCCGGAAAGAAAUCCUUGGCCCUAAUACGGUCGGGGGAUGACGGUACCGGAAGAAUAAGCACCGGCUAACUACGUG